rnacentral:rRNA from 1 species
GUCCACGCCGUAAACGAUGGGCACUAGGCGCUUGGGGGAGCGACCCCCCGAGGGCCGUAGCUAACGCAUUAAGUGCCCCGCCUGGGGAGUACGGCCGCAAGGCUGAAACUCAAAGGAAUUGACGGGGGCCCGCACAAGCGGUGGAGCAUGUGGUUUAAUUCGACGCAACGCGAAGAACCUUACCUAGGCUUGACAUACACGGGAAACUCGUCAGAAACGGCGAGCCCUCUUCGGAGCCCGUGCACAGGUGCUGCAUGGCUGUCGU